rnacentral:lncRNA from 1 species
UGCAGGCCAGCCGGGGCUCCCAGGACAGACGGGAUCUGAGGGCCCCAGGGGUCAGCCGGGCCCUCCGGGGCCUCCGGGAAAAGGCUUCAGUUUUGACAUGAUGGAUUUGGAGGGGUCGGGUCUGGAUGGAAGCAGUGGUUUCAGACCUGUUCUGCCCAGAGGACCACCUGUACGUACAUUCACAUUUACUGAGGCUUUUCUGGCUCUUACAGCUGAACUGCAGCUCAUUCUCGUGCAUAUUCUCAUCCUCAGGGUCUUCCUGGGCUCCCAGGACCUCCAGGGCCACAGGGGAAAGAAGGAGCCGUCGGCCCUCCGGGUGUUUCAGUGAAGGUCUGUGCUCCUCACGCAAUCACAUACACAAAAACAUGCACACACACACUUCCACAACUGUUUCCAUUCCCGCUUUCCAAAGGAAGCACGCCAUUCUCAUCCACGUGUUCCCCAUUAGCCACAAAGUUCCUAUCUUCAGCACAUCUGUUAGGGUCAGUGAAUGCGCCUCAGGCUUUGAACUCCUUCAUAGUGUAAUUCAAAGUAAAAAUGCAUUGUAAUGGCUUUAUAUUACAUAACACACA